CCUACGGUGGACAGCAGUCGAGAAUCAUUCACAAUGGGGGAAACCCUGAUGGUGCGACGCCGCGUGGGGGAAUGAAGGUCUUCGGAUUGUAAACCCCUGUCAUGUGGGAGCAAAUUAAAAAGAUAGUACCACAAGAGGAAGAGACGGCUAACUCUGUGCCAGCAGCCUCGGUAAUACAGAGGUCUCAAGCGUUGUUCGGAAUCACUGGGCGUAAAGCGUGCGUAGGCUGUUUCGUAAGUCUGGUGUGAAAGGCGCUGGCUCAACCCGCGGACGGAACAUGAUACUGCGAGACUAGAGUAAUGGAGGGGGAACCGGAAUUCGCGGUGUAGCAGUGAAAUGCGUAGAUAUCGAGAGGAACACUCGUGGCGAAGGCGGGUUCCUGGACAUUAACUGACGCUGAGGCACGAAGGCCAGGGGAGCGAAAGGGAUUAGAUACCCGAGUAGUC
rnacentral:rRNA from 1 species